GAGCGGUAACAGGCGUAGCAAUACGUGCUGACGAGCGGCGAACGGGUGAGUAAUGCUUCGGAAUCUACCCAGUAGUGGGGAAUAACCAUCCGAAAGGGUGGCUAAUACCGCAUACGUCCUACGGGAGAAAGCGGGGGAUCGUAAGACCUCGCGUUAUUGGAUGAGCCGAAGCCGGAUUAGCUAGUUGGUAGGGUAACGGCCUACCAAGGCGACGAUCCGUAGCUGGUCUGAGAGGACGACCAGCCACACUGGGACUGAGACACGGCCCAGACUCCUACGGGAGGCAGCAGUGGGGAAUAUUGGACAAUGGGGGAAACCCUGAUCCAGCGACGCCGCGUGUGUGAAGAAGGCCUGCGGGUUGUAAAGCACUUUUAGUGGGGAUGAAAAGCCUUGGGAUGACACCCCAGGGUCUUGACCUAACCCACAGAAAAAGCACCGGCUAACUCUGUGCCAGCAGCCGCGGUAAUACAGAGGGUGCGAGCGUUAAUCGGAAUUACUGGGCGUAAAGCGUGCGUAGACGGUCAUGUAAGUCGGGUGUGAAAGCCCCGGGCUCAACCUGGGAAUUGCAUUCGAGACUGCACGGCUUGGGUGCGGAAGAGGGAAGCGGAAUUUCCGGUGUAGCGGUGAAAUGCGUAGAUAUCGGAAGGAACACCAGUGGCGAAAGCGGCUUCCUGGUCCGACACCGACGUUCAGGCACGAAAGCGUGGGGA
rnacentral:rRNA from 1 species